CUGCAAUUCAUAGACAUAUCUGGAUCAGAGAAGCUUAUCUCCUUAACACAAUACCUGCCAUAUUGCUGAAAGAAGAGAUUCAAAUGUUUCAUCCUUGACGUCACCAGCUCAAGCCUCAACAUUGAAGAUAUCUAAAAACAGCAGAUGAAUUCCUUACUGUACCAGCUGAAGCAGAAUGAGUUAAAUAUGGUGCCAAGUUGUGGUUGUCAGGUGUGGGUGAUAAUGUCUGCAUUCAGAAAGCACCGACUCUGCCUUUGCACAUGAGGAGUAGUCUCAGAAACAUGUCCAGCCCCUCUGCCCUGCCAUCUGCUGUCCCC
rnacentral:lncRNA from 1 species